UACGGUGGGUGCAAGCGUUGUCCGGAAUCACUGGGCGUAAAGGGCGCGUAGGCGGCUCAUGAAGGUUGUGGUGAAAGUCCGGGGCUCAACCUCGGAUCGGCCGUGGCGACUCGUGGGCUGGAGCACUGUAGAGGCGGGUGGAAUUCCGGGUGUAGCGGUGGAAUGCGUAGAGAUCCGGAAGAACACCAGUGGCGAAGGCGGCCCGCUGGGCAGUGGCUGACGCUGAGGCGCGACAGCGUGGGGAGCAAACAGG
rnacentral:rRNA from 1 species